CACGUGUAAAAAUCAAAAAGAAGAAAUUGAGGGGUGUUAACCCUUUUGCCCAUUUCACGCAGAACAAGUUGGGAAGGGAAAAAUUGAAAUCCCUAAUCCCCAACUCCUUCUUCUUUCUAGCUCCAUCUCCGGCGGUGGUGACGGGUUGUGCCUUGCCGGUGGCUUCGCUUCGAGCUUCUGUCUCGUUCUUCGAAUCUCUUGGUGGUUCACGGUGGAGGCGAGACGGAACCAGUGGUAGCGCGGUGAUGCCUCCUUGUGAGUUCUUCUUUUCCAUCUCUCUCGCAGUAAGGGGAAUUGAAAUCCCCCAACUCCGUUUUUAUCCUCUUCAAUGCCAGCUUCAAAUUGAUGGAGGAAGACAAUAAUGUCAAUCCUCCAAGGCUUUCUCGGCUAAGACCUGGUCUCAAAACCAUCACCCCGAAUUUGGAUCGGGUGGUUCACGACGGCUCAGCCUCCCUCCGAUGGGUUAUGGUGGUUCCGAAUCGGGUAAUCAUUGCUUUAUUAUUUUUUUGUCAAUUUCCUACUUUCUAUUGAUUCUCGGUUCCUAUUUUUAUGAACUCAUGCACUUUCUAUUGGCCUUUACAGAGUGAUGAUCCGGGGUCAUUCACGGCUGAGCCGAAACUGAUUAAACAGUACCGAGGACAUACACCAUAUCGACUAAGCCGAAAUGUAAUCUGGAUUUGGUAUGGUCAUCUAUUGGUACUAGGUUGAUGCAGAAUUCGUUCUCAUACUAUAAUUACCAUAUCAUUUUAUUUAUACUCUCUAUACUCCAGUUUUGAAUAUAAACCGAACCCCUAAUCUUGUGACAUGAGCAUUUGAAGGUGUGACAGUAUAUCUCUCUUGAUACAUAUUGAUUGAAAUGCAUUUCUCAUUUGUAAGUAUUUGAGGAAAAAAGGGAAAAUGAGUGACUUACCUGAGCCAUGCCUCUUCCUUCCUAUUCCUUCUGAGUGUUGUUCUCUGCUAUGAUGUAUGAUGUCCUAUGUUUUGUUGCAAUCUCUUUUCUGCCUGUUUCUGGAUGUCUUAUUGCAAUAUCUCUUGGUUGAUUUCUCUUGUGUUUAUGUAUGCUAUGUUAUGAAUAUGUGCUUUGAGUGCUUUUGCCUUUCUCCUGAAUAUUCUCUCUGAUUUCAGUAUCGUGUUUUUUCUUAGCGUAUGUAUGUGAUAUGGUUAUUCAAGUGUUUUCCUUGUUCUCUCUGAUUGUUCUCCGUUGGUUUAUAUGAUGCUUAUGGUAGAUAGCUUAUGAAUAUUUUUGGUAGGACCUCUCUAACUGUAUAUGAUAGCUUGUACUCCCCCUUUUACCACCGUUUCAAUCUGCUUGGUGCUUGUCCCUUUUAUACUGAUUGAGGGUUCAUGGAAACCUCUUGAGUUGCCAAUUGAAAUCCAACGUAGGAUUACCCUUUUGUUUUCUGACUAUUCUAUUUUGAUUACUCCACUUCAAUGCUGCCUAUUAUUCCUGCCAAUUAUGUCUGAUUUGUAACUGAAAAGGUGAGGUUUUCAGAUUUGCCUCUUUUAAAUUUCCAUGGUUUAGUGAGGCCUUAAAGCUGCCCCUGACUGUUGAUAGGGAUUUGUAACUGAAGGACCUAUGAUUUCUGCAUUGCCUUUGCUCUUUAUGGCUUGUUUAUGAUUUGAUUGAUAACCCAUGGAUAUCCCUUCCUGGUUCGGAACUAAAAUUGGCCGUUUCAAUAUUACUACAUCUAUGCCCCAAUAUGUAAUUGUCUAAAAAACUUACCCUUUGAUCUCUUUCUGCAGGAAUGACUAUCAGAGACAUCAUCAACACUUUUUUAGGUGAAUAUCAUAUUCAAUAAAUCAUCAGUCAACAAGCAGGAUGUUACAUAAGAUGAUAAGAGGGACAAAUAAUUAGUUUUAUCACUGAAAACAAACUGAGUAUAUAGGCAAAUAGGUUAGAUUUGUUCAGUUACAUAUAUAGGUGAGAUUUAAAUCACAUACAUUGAACCAAUUGGCAAGUAAUAAUCCUUUUGUAUAAUAUACAAGCCACUGAGGCAGAUAAUGUUUAUGAACGUCUAAGUACUAUUCAAUGUGAUCUAAUAUAAUUAACAGAAUUGGCAC
rnacentral:lncRNA from 1 species